rnacentral:rRNA from 1 species
CCCUUAGAUGUUCUGGGCCGCACGCGUGCUACACUGAGUAAAUCAAUGGGUAAGGGAACACGAAAGUGCAACCUAAUCUUGAAAUUUGCUCGUGAUGGGGAUCGACGGUUGCAAUUUUCCGUCGUGAACGAGGAAUACCUUGUAGGCGCGUGUCAUCAUCACGCGCCGAAUACAUCCCUGCCCUUUGUACACACCGCCCGUCGCUCCUACCGAUUGAGUGAUCCGGUGAGGCUCUGGGACCUGGACGGAAAGAGCGUUUCGCUUGUUCUGUUUGGGAAACUUGGUCGAACCUUAUCAUUUAGAGGAAGGAGAAGUCGUAACA